rnacentral:lncRNA from 1 species
AAAAAAAAUUCUAAAAAUAUUGUUUGUAUCACGUGACAUCAAAAAUUCUAUUUAUAACAGUGAAAACUUUAAACUCAAAAGUGCUAGCGUGUAGACUUGUUUGUUUUCCUGUGUAAAGGGUGCAAUAGACAGGUUGUGUAAUAAAGUAACUAAAAACUUCUACUCGCCUCUAUAAAUAAUUAGAAGAAGUAAAUUAAACGGUAUUUUCGAGUGACCCGUGUGAAAUAUGCUGUGACCUUCUGUUGUCAUUACGUCUAAUAAACACAUUGAACAUUUGACAGUAUCCGAGUAGAAGUUUUUGAUAAAUACUAUUAUUUAGGAGUUUAUCUAUUCUUAAAUAUUGUCAUUUCAUCAAGUGUACACGCUAGCACUUUUGGGUUGAAGUCAACAGGUUGAAAACAUUUCAUAUUGCGACAUUGCUUACAAACGCAUAGGUGACUUUCAAAGGGAGAUAAUUUAAUGAAAACAAACUAUGUUCAAGCGGGAAUGUAUAAAUCAUACGGAAUAGUCGAUAUAAUAUGUUUAUGUGCCUUUUUUAUGGAUUUUCUCUAUAUACGAUCGUUGAACAAUAAACAACACUUUUCUUCCGUCAAAUAGUUUUGUUUUUUAUAUAUAAACAUGUGAAUAAUACUGAUAUAUCAGUGCCUUUUAAUGGAAAUUGCAAG